GCGUGUAUAACUCAGUUGGUUAGAGUGUCAGACUGUGGUUCUGAAAGUCACAGGUUCAAAUCCUGUUACUCGCC
rnacentral:tRNA from 1 species